AAUGAACGCUGGCGGCAGGCCUAACACAUGCAAGUCGAACGGAUCCUUCGGGAUUAGUGGCGGACGGGUGAGUAACGCGUGGGAACAUACCCUUUGGUACGGAAUAGCCUCGGGAAACUGGGGGUAAUACCGUAUGUGGUCGAGAGACGAAAGAUUUAUCGCCAAAGGAUUGGCCCGCGUUGGAUUAGGUAGUUGGUGGGGUAAUGGCCUACCAAGCCGGCGAUCCAUAGCUGGUUGGAGAGGAUGAUCAGCCACACUGGGACUGAGACACGGCCCAGAGUCCUACGGGAGGCAGCAGUGGGGAAUCUUAGACAAUGGGGGAAACCCGGAUCUAGCCAUGCCGCGUGAUCGAUGAAGGCCUUAGGGUUGUAAAGAUCUUUCAGGUGGGAAGAUAAUGACUGUACCACCAGAAGAAGCCCCGGCUAACUCCGUGCCAGCCGCCGCCGUAA
rnacentral:rRNA from 1 species